rnacentral:tRNA from 2 species
GGUUUGGUGGUCUAGUGGUAUGAUUCUCGCUUAGGGUACACCCGAAAGCAAAUAUGCGAGAGGUCCCGGGUUCAAUCCCCGGCCAAACCC